UUUGCAUUGUUUUCAUGAGACUCAUCUGAUCAUGGCAUUAUAAUGCAUGUCAAAAUAGUUUAGGAUGCAGUUCUGUCCAGGAACAUGUAUUUACUUCUCAUGCUUGUGCUAGUGAUAGAAAUAGUGAUGCAUGCUCAUAUUCAUCUCAUGCAUCAUGUGCCUGUUGCAUAUUGAGGUUCUGUUGUUCAUUGGAUGUUAUUCUUAUGUUGGGUAGCACCGGGAUCGUAGAACGAGUAAGUGGAUUCGGGAGAGUACGUGCAGGACGAUCAAGAACCAAUCCAGCUGAG
rnacentral:lncRNA from 1 species